GAUGAACGCUGGCGGCGUGCCUAAUACAUGCAAGUCGAGCGAACGGACGAGAAGCUUGCUCCUCUGAUGUUAGCGGCGGACGUGUGAGUAACACGUGGAUAACCUACCUAUAAGACUGGGAUAACUUCGGGAAACCGGAGCUAAUACCGGAUAAUAUUUUGAACCGCAUGGUUCAAAAGUGAAAGACGGUCUUGCUGUCACUUAUAGAUGUAUCCGCGCUGCAUUAGCUAGUUGGUAAGGUAACGGCUUACCAAGGCAACGAUGCAUAGCCGACCUGAGAGGGUGAUCGGCCACACUGGAACUGAGACACGGUCCAGACUCCUACGGGAGGCCGCAGUAGGGAAUCUUCCGAACUGGGCGAAAGCCUGACGGAGCAACGCCGCGUGAGUGAUGAAGGUCUUCGGAUCGUAAAACUCUGUUAUUAGGGAAGACCAUAUGUGUAAGUAACUAUGCACGUCUUGACGGUACCUAAUCAGAAAGCCACGGCUAACUACGUG
rnacentral:rRNA from 1 species